rnacentral:rRNA from 1 species
AACGAACGCUGGCGGCAUGCCUAACACAUGCAAGUCGAACGAGACCUUCGGGUCUAGUGGCGAACGGGUGCGUAACGCGUGGGAACCUGCCCUUAGGUUCGGAAUAACUCCCCGAAAGGGGUGCUAAUACCGGAUAAUGUCUUCGGACCAAAGAUUUAUCGCCUUUGGAUGGGCCCGCGUUGGAUUAGCUAGUUGGUAGGGUAAAAGCCUACCAAGGCGACGAUCCAUAGCUGGUCUGAGAGGAUGAUCAGCCACACUGGGACUGAGACACGGCCCAGACUCCUACGGGGGGCAGCAGUGGGGAAUAUUGGACAAUGGGCGAAAGCCUGAUCCAGCAAUGCCGCGUGAGUGAUGAAGGCCUUAGGGUUGUAAAGCUCUUUUACCCGGGAUGAUAAUGACAGUACCGGGAGAAUAAGCUCCGGCUAACUCCGUG